GCUGUAGGUUCACAAGACUAUAAUGUCGGAUGCGAACUGCUCUUUUGUGUCCUGUGAUUCUCAUUGUUUACUUCGUUGAACAGUUGAAAAAGUGUAUUUGAGUUGACCUCGUCUGAACAGCACUGCUUCAUUCCGCACAUAAAAUGUCAGCUGUUGCAGUUGUGCUUAGGAUAAGGUAAUGCUAACAUCCCUCUGGAAAACUAGGUCUCAUGUUGUAUCAUUCUGGAUAAAGUCAUUGUACGAGCAGAACUAUGCAUGAUAUAAGGUGAAGACUAAUGGUUUCUGCAUUUCCAUUCAACAACCGGCUUUCAGUUCACCAUCUGGUUUCAGUAUAUACAUUCCAGAACGUAAAGCUUCCAGUUUGAGAUUGUGAAUGUUUUAUUGGAUAAUCUAAUUCCUACUUUUAAAUAGUAAUUCAUCCUCUUCACAAAUAUAGUUGUAAGUAUCAGGUGCCUUCUGUUGUGCGUGUUAAUUUUCCAUUGAUAGUACAAUUAAAUGUUUUAAUAUUCCCAUGGAGGAGCAUUACAUUCAACAACAAAUAAAGAAUGAUUGUCAGGGCGCUUCAUUUCGUUGGCUUCUAAAUAUAUUCCAAGUCCAGAUGUUGCUCCAAAAAUGACAAAGACAGUUAGCAACAUAUUCAAACAUCACCCAUAGCUCAGUGGUAGAGCAUUGGAUUACUAAUUAAAAAGAUUGGGUUGAUAUUCCCAAUAAAGUGUUACAAUGUUUCAAUUGAUUGCUAUAUUAUUAUGGUGGCUACAUUGUUAUCACAAGUGUACAUAUCUUGCCUUUCAUUAACCAGGAAAAGUAGAAAUUUUAUAUGUGAAUCAUGGCUCAGUGGUUGAGCAUCGGCAUAUCAUGCCGAAGGAUUGAGGUUCGAUUCCUGUAUGAGUUAAAUUACUAGAGAAAUAUGUGCUGCUGCAGUUUAACUUGGUGUACUUGGCGAAUCUCGUACCUGUACACCAUAGCUUGAUAUUACCAUCGUUCUGCUUUUGAAAAACUAUCGACCUCAUUACAAUGCAAACAAGGAUAUUAGGGAUCGGGAAGUUCAACUAACAACAGAUCAAUUGGCUUAGUGGUAAAGCACCUGAUCAGUAUGUUAAAGGCCCAAGGUUCGAUCCCCGUCUCAGAUGUAAAGUAUGUUCAUAAAAAAUAAAUAAAUUCGUGAAAUACGUAAAACAACUUUAUUGUCCCUCCUUCCACCCACAAUUCCUCCGCUACAUUUUACAUUUCACA